rnacentral:lncRNA from 1 species
UGCCAUGCUUUUCUCCUCCAGUAGAGGGCCCUCACAGCUAACUGUUCUAACGUCUGUGUCUGCUUCUAUAGAGCCACUCACCAGCACAGAACAACUCACCCGGAGCUUCUUGAAGACAAGUCCAAGCAGAAGAGGGAGUCGCAGAUCCACCAAGAAGCCCUGAAACAGCAGGUGUGCAUACAAACCCACCUGCUUUCCCUGUAAUAUUGUUUAAGAAGUCUCAAAGAGAAAACCCUUUUUAAACUUCUUUUUGUCUAGAUCAAAGAAAGAGAGGAGCGUAAAAGAAUAGAAAAAGAAGAGAUAGCGCAAUAUGAAGCAAAGCUAGAGGUGGAAAGGAUGACAUACAACCCCUGGGGGAGAGGCGGAGGAGGUGCUCCCAUUAAAGACCAUAACGGGAACCUUAUUAAUAAUUUGACACUAAUGCACAGAGCCAAUAUGGCAUCAUACAGGAAUCCUGCGCCCUCUGCUGCAGCUGAAGUUAUGACUGCAGACCACGUCUCAGGUUUGAGUGAUCAGCCACCUACACAGAAGCUCCACAUGCAGGACAGCUACUACGAAGAACUGGAACGGCAGAGAGAGCCGUCUCCUCCCAUCCCAACCCACCAGAGGAGGCAGACACAUCUUGUAGCAUCUCGGCCUUCCUCUGCUAGAGAGCCAUCUCCUCCCAUCCCAACCCACCAGAGGAGUCAGAAACAUCUUGUAGCAUCUCGGCCUUCCUCUGCUGUAAGCCAGCACUCACCCAGGGCUGUAAGUCGAUAAGAUAAGAUAAAAUAAGAUAAGAUGAGAUAAGAUAAGAUAAG